AACCAUGACCAAGACCUUACUAAAAAAAACUAAAAAGAAAUCAGCAAUACGUAGAGGAAAGCGUAAAGGAAGAACUAGAACACAUAUCAAAUAGGACGAACAUACAGGUAUAAAUUUAACUUCCUCAAACAAAUACAAAGAAACAUUGAAAUAAAUAUAAACAAGCAAAAUAUUAUUAAUAACACAAAAACUGUGGAAAAAACUGAAUAUACAUCGUUACCCAUACAAGUAGCUAAUAAAACCAUGACCAAGACCUUACUAAGAAAAACUAAAAAGAAAUCUGCAAUAUGUAGAGCCCCUACAGUUUUUAAUAGUAUAAGAAACGAUAAAGAAAAAAGGAACAACAUGCAGCAGUCAGGUGUAUACAAAAUCCCUGUCAAUAUUGAAGAUACAAAUCAAAAUUUGACAUAUAUAGGAGUUACAAAAAGAACAUUGCAACAAAAAAUAUAAAAACAUAAAAAAGACGUGCAAAAAGGAACAACUACCAGAGCCCUUGCCGAAGCAGUGUAUGCUCACCAAAUAAAUAUAG
rnacentral:lncRNA from 1 species